AUGAGCGAAGGACUCAGUCACAGACACAGACACAGACACAGACUCAGUCACAGUCACAGACACAGACACAGACACAGACACAGACACAGACUCAGUCACAGACACAGACAGACACAGAGACAGAUACAGACACAGACUCAGUCACAGACACAGACUCAGUCACAGACACAGACUCAGUCACAGACAAAGACACAGACACAGACACAGACAGAAACAGAGACAGAUACAGACACAGACUCAGUCACAGACACAGACUCAGUCACAGACACAGACUCAGUCACAGACAAAGACACAGACAGUCACAGACACAGACUCAGUCACAGAUACAGAUACAGUCACAGACACAGACACAGACACAGUCACAGUCACAGACACAGACACAGUCACAGACACAGGCACAGUCACAGUCACAAACACAGUCACAGACACAGACACAGACAGACACAGAGACAGACAGAGACUCAGUCACAGACACAGUCACAGACACAGACACAGACACAGACAGACACAGAGACAGAUACAGACACAGACAAAGACACAGACACAGUCACAGACAAAGACACAGACAGUCACAGACACAGACUCAGUCACAGAUACAGAUACAGUCACAGACACAGACACAGACACAGUCACAGUCACAGACACAGACACAGUCACAGACACAGGCACAGUCACAGUCACAAACACAGACACAGACACAGACACAGACACAGACACAGACUCAGUCACAGACACAGACACAGACAGACACAGAGACAGAUACAGACACAGACAAAGACACAGACACAGUCACAGACACAGUCACAGACACAGACACAGACACAGACACAGACAAAGACAGACACAGAGACAGAUACAGACACAGACUCAGUCACAGACACAGACUCAGUCACAGACACAGACUCAGUCACAGACAAAGACACAGACACAGACACAGACAGUCACAGACACAGACUCAGUCACAGAUACAGAUACAGUCACAGACACAGACACAGACACAGUCACAGACACAGACACAGACACAGUCACAGACACAGGCACAGUCACAGUCACAAACACAGUCACAGACACAGACAGACACAGAGACAGACAGACACAGACACAGACACAGACACAGACACAGACUCAGUCACAGACACAGACACAGACUCAGUCACAGACACAGACACAGACACAGACAGACACAGAGACAGAUACAGACACAGACACAGACAAAGACACAGACACAGUCACAGACACAGUCACAGACACAGACACAGACACAGACACAGACACAGACAAAGACAAAGACACAAACACAGACUCAGUCACAGUCACAGACACAGACUCAGUCACAGACACAGUCACAGACACAGACAAAGGCACAGUCACAGACACAGACUCACUCACAGACACAGUCAUAGACACAGACACAGACACAGAUGGACAUGA
rnacentral:lncRNA from 1 species